rnacentral:lncRNA from 1 species
CCCCCUCCCCCUCCCCCUUCUCUCUCUCUCUCUCUCUCUCUCUCUCUCUCUCUCUCUCUCUCUCUCUCUCUCUCUCUCUGCCUCUCUCUCUGCCUCUCUCUCCUUCCCUCCCUCCCUCCUCUCUCUCUCUACCUCCCCCCCUCUCUCUCCCUCCCUCCUCCCUCUCUCUCUCUCUCCUUCCCUCCUUCCCUCUUCUCUCUCUCCCUACCUUCCUCCCUCCUCUUUCUCUCUGUUUCUCUGUCUCUCUCUCUUUCUCCAUAAAGCACUAUAUUUUAAGUGAUGCAUUUCCCCAUCACAUUUUUGAAUGGUGGCUAAAGUGGGUGCACUUUGACAUUUCCAAGGUUCCCACAAUUUCCCCUCCACACAGUUCCAAGGUAGUAGAGAGGGGUUUUGGUGACUUGCCCCAUCACCUAUCUAGGAAGUGAUUUGAAUCCAGAACCUCCUUCCCAUCUCUAGGCCUGGCUCUCAGUAAGACUUUUUAAAAAUAAAAAUCCCCCACCACAGCCACUAGUGGCUCUCUGUCUAGGCUUUUUGACCAGAAUCCUAACAAGGAAGCCUGUUGUUGAUCUCUGCCUGCCUGCCCUGGGAAGUACCAGCUUCAGCCCUCCACUGGCCACAACGCUGGCAUAAUGGGAAGAGUCUUCCACUGGAACCCACACUUGGGUUCUGCCUCUCUGCCAUUAUUUCCCCUCUCCAGGCUCUGAGUCUCUUCCUGCUCCAAGCAUUUAUUUGCCUUUCCCAAUGGGAUCUCUCCGUUCUCUCACUAUCUCUCUCCAGGUUCUCUCUGCCUCGAGCCAAGGCAACAAGAGUCCGUCGUGCCUACUAUGUGCCAAGAGAGGAAAAAAAGGCAAAAGACAGUCCCUGGUGUUUGGGAAUUCCCAGUCCAAGGCGGGCGCCAACCUCUGUGGAAUGAGCUGGAGUCAGAAUAAAUGGGACCUCAUCAGUGGGCAGCUGCUCCCUGUCUCCCUAUCUCUGUUCUGGCUCCAGCACUCCAGGCCCCCUUCUCACAGAAGCAGGCGGAACAUCUGGAGCUUUCCUUUCCUCUCCACCCUGGCCUCGACCUCCAUUCUAGGCUUCCGAGGAAUUGGACGUCUCCUAAAGGGAGUGGUGAGCCCGGAGAGCAGGCCUAGCUUCACUGAAAACAGGUCAGGUCAGACUGACCUCAUUGCCUUUUUCCAACAGGGUCACUAGGCUCACCAGUCUAGACCAGACUAGGAAUAUUUAGACACAGCUCACCUGGGUUUUUAGUAAAGCGUUUGGCAAAGUCUCCUGCCGAGCAUCCAGAAAAGAUGGAGAGACGUGGGCUAGAGAUAAUAGAGAAGCUGCCAGGGUUCAGUUGUGUCUGAUUCUUGGGGACCCCAUUUGGGGUUUUCUUGACACUGAAGAGGUUUGCCAUUUCCUUCUUGAGCUUGUUUGACAGAUGAGGAAACUGAGGCAAAUGGGUCAAAGUGAUUUGCCUAGGGUCACACAGUUGGGAAAUGUCUGAGGUCAAAUUUGAACUCAGGUCUCUCUGACUCUAGAUUCAAAGUAGAGUUAAGUUGAUCCAAAACUGCUUGACUGACCCCAACCUAAAGAGUCAUCACUAAUGAAUUUGAAGUCUUGUCAAAAAAAGACUUCUUCUAGAAUGCCCUAAAGGAUCAUUGAUUUAGAACAAGAAAGGACCUUAGAGAUCAUCCACCUCAAUUUACGGAGCAAGAAACUCAGGCACAGAGACAUUGUGACUUGCCAGGGUUAUCAAGCUAGUAAAAUUUGAACCCAGGUCUUCCUGACUCCCAAGCCCAAACCCUAACCACUGUACCAUGGGCUCUCUAUUUGGCCGAGUGUGGUUUAACAUUUUCCUCCAUUACUGGGAUAAAGGAAUACACUGUCUAUCAGAUCUGCCAAUCCAGGAAGGACCAUGAACAUAGUCAGGAUGCCAACAGGUUAGACAGCCAGCAGAAUCCCAGAAGAUGCUGAAAGUGGUCCUCUGCACACUCUCCCUAAGCAGCUGCACGGCUCCACCCAUCAUAUCUCUUUAGGUGCCUCCACCCCAUUCCCUUAUCUCUCUCUCUCUCUCUCUCUCUCUCUCUCUCUCUCUCUCUCUCUCUCUCUCUCUCUGUCUGUCUCUCUGUCUCUCUCUGUCUCUCUCUCUCUGUCUCUCUGUCUCUCUCCNNNNNNNNNNNNNNNNNNNNNNGUCAGAAGUUUUAUUCUA